AUUUAACCAUGAGAAACUCUAGGUUAGCUGAGCAGUGUCUCCCAACAAUGACAGUGUUCGUACACCAAGCUUUGUUGACAUAAAUGCACAAUCCACCACCUCUUUUUUUGCCGGAGUCAUCUGCCGUUCUAUCUGCCUGGAGCAUGUAGCGUCCGGCUAGCUCAAUAGCAUUAUUGGGUAUGUCGUUGUGUAGCCAUGUUUCUGUGAAAACCAUGACAUUGCAGUCCAAAAGUAUCUUACUGUGGGUGAUGCGAAGUCGUAACUCAUCCAUUUUGUUCACCAGUGACCGCACAUUUAAUUACCACAAAUAUUAAUGUCUCACUAGAAAUCAAGUCAAAAGCUGAAAAAAAAAAAUCAAAUUGUAACAGAAUCACAUGCAUGGGAUAGCGAUAUAUCGUAGGCAAGGAUAUAUCUAUACUGCCUUCAAAAAUCAGAUGAAGGUAUCUCAGGUUCAGAUGUGCUUUAUUGCCUUUCUACCUCCACUUCUGCCUGCGGAGGCAGCAUUUUUCUGCUUUUAGAAGCAGCCAUUAUAUUUUGUCAUUAGUCACAGGCCUUCUUUCAUAAUGUACAGACCUCUCCAUAUUAUCUUCUGCAGGUCGCUUGUUGCUUUCUUCUGAUGUGUGGCACUGAUAUAUUCGUCUUGGCUCUAUUAAUCACAGUCUCUGUAAAAUGGAUAUCCCGUUCCCCACUGUCAAUCUCCUCUGCCUGGAGCAAAAGGAUCGCUCCCUUGAGGACCACAAAAGGGAGUUUUUAGACCUGACUUUACAGACUCACUACCUGGACAGCUGCCUUUUUUGGAGUGGGUGGUGGUGAUCUGUGGAUUUCGUUUUACCAUUGACCCCAUGGAGAAUGUCACCAGCUCAUCAGCCCCACUCCCAUGACAGGGUCCAACUUGCAUCAUCAGCAUGGAGCAAUUGACGUGAGACUUCCUCUAGAGCGAAGCACUUCUGAGAAACGCUCUGCUUUAUACUAAACAGGCAGUAUACAUUUCAGAGAGAGAGAGAGAAUAUUUAAAAAAAAAAAUAAUAUUAAUAUAAUUGCAGUUAUUAUAUGGGAUCAAGACAGAAGUGCCUCCCAUUAAAGUACUGCGCUUUAAUACACUUAAUUACUUAAUUUUUGAAUGCAUACAGACAAGUGAAACUGAUCAUGUAUUUCAUAUUUGAUUGUAAGAUGGGAAAGUUCAUGACAUGCGCUUGACCUGAUCUCAAUAAUUCCUUUUUCACAGCAUAUUCAUAAUUGGGAGAAUAGGGUAAAUAGGAACUUGAAGAAAAAUGUUUUUGAACAUUUCAAACUAAGAAAAGACUCAUAAAGAGCAAUCUAGUGCAUUGAUUACACUGAAUAUAUCAGAGCAAAAGUAUAAAUAUAGUCUUCAGGCACUGAUUUUUUAAAGACUAAGAAUAUACUUCUUGGUAAAUUUUGACCCUGGAUUCAGGUUACACUUCACAAACAAGACACAAAGAACAUAGGCAGUUAUUUGAUCUCUAAGACAAAGCAUUUAUGUGUAAACAAAAAUAUAGUGUUUUCACAAUUCACAAUAAUAUUUGAAAAUAUCGCACAACAAAUAUAAAACAUUAUUUAUUUGAGAGUGAGCUCCCCUUUCACCUCCACCACAAAGAGACAGACAAGAACAAUAAAAGCCAUUUUCAUGUUUGUUUUGAUCUUAUAUAAUCUCUUAAAUGUCUGGACGGAUGAUAUCAUGAAUAAUGGGAUUUCAGCAACUCUAUUUUUUUACUGCCUAGGUCUGGCCACUGAGGUGAUUGUUUUUCUUUUUGUUUCAUUAGAGUUUCCUUCAAUUGUACCAAGAAAUUGAAGCCUUUAUAUGUAAAGAGAAGCUCUGUCAUGAGGCAAUUGUUUUUAAAAGCAUUAGAAAAAAACUUUCUGUUCAUAGUUUCAGAACAGGCCUUUUCAGUAAUCUUUUUUAAGACAUUAAUGUUUCCACAGGAAUAGUCUCUGAUAAUUCACAUAACCCACUGAUUAAUUCUGGUAUGCUUCAGUUUUAUUCACAUAAUGGGAAAUUUUUACAAAGAUGCUUUAAAGAGAACGUGGACCUUCAAUGCAAGAACAACAAAAAACUGUGUUCUCAGGGCCAUAAACACCAUGAAUGAUGUGUGAAGGAUAUUUAAGAGCUUCGGUGGGGGAGAACAUUUUCAGUGAAGAACUAUUCAAACUGUGUCUGUUCCUCACACAGCACACCAGUCAUAUGGACUACUUACAAGAUUUUAAUGUUUUGGAGCUUGACAGGUUCCCUUUUACUUUAAUUAUAUGCAUUGAAAACAACGCAGUGUGAAGAUCCUACUUAAAUUUUCCUUUUGUGUUGUACAGAAGAAAUAAUGUCAUAUGAGUUUGGAUCGAAGUGAGUAUGUGAAUAAAUGAUGACCAAAUUUUGUGGGAACUAA